AUUGAACGCUGGCGGCAUGCCUUACACAUGCAAGUCGAACGGCAGCACGGGGCAACCUGGUGGCGAGUGGCGAACGGGUGAGUAAUGCAUCGGAACGUGCCAUUGAGUGGGGGAUAACGUAGCGAAAGUUGCGCUAAUACCGCAUAUUCUGUGAGCAGGAAAGCAGGGGACCGCAAGGCCUUGCGCUCUUUGAGCGGCCGAUGUCAGAUUAGCUAGUUGGUGAGGUAACGGCUUACCAAGGCGACGAUCUGUAGCGGGUCUGAGAGGAUGAUCCGCCACACUGGAACUGAGACACGGUCCCGACUCCUACGGGGGGGCAGCAGUGAGGAAUAUUCGGCAAUGGGGGCAACCCUGACCGAGCAACGCCGCGUGGAGGAUGACGGUUUUCGGAUUGUAAACUCCUUUUCUCAGGGAAGAGCGAGGACGGUACCUGGGGAAUAAGUCACGGCUAACUACGUG
rnacentral:rRNA from 1 species